rnacentral:rRNA from 1 species
GGAAAUUCGGCAUCGUCUCAAGAUUAGCCAUGCAUGUGUUAGUAUAAACGCUUUUAUACUGUAAGACUGCGAACGGCUCAUUAUAUCAGUUAUAGUUUAUUUGAUACUCUCUCACUAUUGGAUAACCGUAGUAAUUCUAGAGCUAAUACAUGCUUACAAGCCCGACUCACGAAGGGCUGUAUUUAUUAGAUUUCAAUCAACAUUUUUUGCUGACUCAUGAUAACUUAGCGGAUCGCAGAGGCCUUGCGCCGGCGACAAAUCAUUCAAGUUUCUGCCCUAUCAGCUUUCGAUGGUAGUGUAUUGGACUACCAUGGCAUUAACGGGUAACGGAGGAUUAGGGUUCGAUUCCGGAGAGGGAGCCUGAGAAAUGGCUACCACAUCCAAGGAAGGCAGCAGGCGCGUAAAUUACCCAAUCCUAAUUCAGGGAGGUAGUGACAAUAAAUAUCGAUGCGGGGCCCUUUGGGUCUUGCAAUCGGAAUGAGAACAAUUUAAAUCCCUUAACGAGGAUCAAUUGGGGGGCAAGUCUGGUGCCAGCAGCCGCGGUAAUUCCAGCUCCAAUAGCGUAUAUUAAUGUUGUUGCAGUUAAAAAGCUCGUAGUUGGAUUUCUGCGCCGCGCAGCUCGGUCCGCCGCACUGCGGUGUGAAAGUGCUGGAGCGUCGCAUCCUUGUGGAGACUGUUUCGACCAUUAAUUUGGUCCGUUUCAGGAACCGCAUCGUUUACUGUGAAAAAAUUAGAGUGUUCAAAGCAGGCUUAUGCCGUGAAUACAUUAGCAUGGAAUAAUAAGAUAGGACUUUGGUUCUAUUUUGUGGGUUGGAGGCCAAGGUAAUGAUUAAUAGGGAUAGUUGGGGGUAUUCAUAUUUAAUCGUCAGAGGUGAAAUUCUUGGAUUUAUGAAAGAUGAACUAAUGCGAAAGCAUUUACCAAGGAUGUUUUCAUUUAAUCAAGAACGAAAGUUAGGGGAUCGAAGAGGAUUAGAUACCCUCGUAGUCUUAACCAUAACUAUGCCGACUCGGGAUCGGGAGGUGUACAUUUCAAAGACUCUCUCGGCACCGUUAUGAGAAAUCAAGUCUUUGGGUUCCGGGGGUAGUAUGGUUCGCAAGCUGAACUUAAGAAUUGACGAGGGCACCACCAGGAUUGAGCUUGCGCCUUAUUUGACUCACACGGGGAACUCACCAGGUCCGAACUUAGUAAGAAUUGACGAUUGUACAGGCUUCU